GGAUGAACGCUAGCGGCAGGCUUAACACAUGCAAGUCGAGGGGUAGCAGGGAGCUUGCUCCGCUGACGACCGGCGAACGGGUGCGUAACGCGUAUAGAAUCUACCUCUUACUAAGGGAUAGCCCAGAGAAAUUUGGAUUAAUAUCUUAUAGUAUGUUAACUUGGCAUCAAGAUAACAUUAAAGGUUACGGUAAGAGAUGACUAUGCGUCCUAUUAGCUAGAUGGUGUGGUAACGGCACACCAUGGCAACGAUAGGUAGGGGCCCUGAGAGGGGGAUCCCCCACACUGGUACUGAGACACGGACCAGACUCCUACGGGAGGCAGCAGUGAGGAAUAUUGGACAAUGGAGGCAACUCUGAUCCAGCCAUGCCGCGUGCAGGAAGACUGCCCUAUGGGUUGUAAACUGCUUUUAUACAGGAAGAAACACUCUCACGUGUGAGAGCUUGACGGUACUGUAAGAAUAAGGAUCGGCUAACUCCGUGCCAGCAGCCGCGGUAAUACGGAGGAUCCAAGCGUUAUCCGGAAUCAUUGGGUUUAAAGGGUCCGUAGGUGGAUAAUUAAGUCAGAGGUGAAAUCCUGCAGCUCAACUGUAGAAUUGCCUUUGAUACUGGUUGUCUUGAGUUAUUAUGAAGUAGUUAGAAUAUGUAGUGUAGCGGUGAAAUGCAUAGAUAUUACAUAGAAUACCAAUUGCGAAGGCAGAUUACUAAUAAUAUACUGACACUGAUGGACGAAAGCGUGGGGAGCGAACAGGAUUAGAUACCCUGGUAGUCCACGCCGUAAACGAUGGUCACUAGCUGUUCGAACUUCGGUUUGAGUGGCUAAGCGAAAGUGAUA
rnacentral:rRNA from 1 species